CCCCUAGAUGUUCUGGGCCGCACGCGCGCUACACUGAACAGUUCAACAAGUCUUAACCUUGGCCGAUAGGUCUGGGUAAUCUUUGAACGCUGUUCGUGAUUGGGAUAGACCUUUGCAAUUAUGGGUCUUCAACGAGGAAUUCCUAGUAAACGCAAGUCAUCAGCUUGCAUUGAUUACGUCCCUGCCCUUUGUACACACCGCCCGUCGCACCUAUCGAUUGAAUGGUCCGGUGAAAUCUCGGGACGGCGGCUUGGUCGCUUGCGUCCGACUGCUGAAACUUGAUUAAACCAUAUCAUUUAGAGGAAGGUGAAGUCGUAACA
rnacentral:rRNA from 1 species